AACGCUGGCGGCGUGCCUAACACAUGCAAGUCGAACGAGAAAGUCUCCGCAAGGGGAUGAGUAAAGUGGCGAACGGGUGAGUAACACGUAGCUAACCUGCCCUUGAGUGGGGGAUAACCUGGGGAAACCCGGGCUAACACCGCAUAACGUCCCGGUGGCGCAGGCCAUGGGGAUCAAAGGCCCGCAAGGGUCGCUCGUGGAGGGGGCUGCGGCCGAUUAGCUAGUUGGUGAGGUAAUGGCCCACCAAGGCAAUGAUCGGUAGCCGGCCUGAGAGGGCGCACGGUCACACUGGCACUGAAACACGGGCCAGACUCCUACGGGAGGCAGCAGUGGGGAAUUUUGCACAAUGCCCGAAAGGGUGAUGCAGCAACGCCGCGUGAGGGAUGAAGGCCUUCGGGUCGUAAACCUCUUUCGACUGGGAAAAACGGCCCCGUGAAGAACGGGGUCUGAUGGUACCGGUGGAAGAAGCCCCGGCUAACUACGUGCCAGCAGCCGCGGUAAUACGUAGGGGGCGAGCGUUGUUCGGAAUUAUUGGGCGUAAAGGGCGUGUAGGCGGUGCGGUAAGUCGGGCGUUAAAUCUCCAGGCUUAACUUGGAGCGGCCGUCCGAAACUGCCGUGCUAGGGUGCGGGAGAGGGCAGUGGAAUUCCCGGUGUAGCGGUGAAAUGCGUAGAUAUCGGGAGGAACAUCUGUGGCGAAGGCGGCUGCCUGGACCGCAACCGACGCUGAGGCGCGAAAGCUAGGGGAGCAAACAG
rnacentral:rRNA from 1 species